rnacentral:rRNA from 1 species
UACGAAGGGGGCUAGCGUUGUUCGGAAUUACUGGGCGUAAAGCGUGCGCAGGCGGCUUCUCAAGUCAGGGGUGAAAGCCCAGAGCUCAACUCUGGAAUUGCCUUUGAGACUGAGUGGCUUGAGUACGAGAGAGGUGAGUGGAAUUCCCAGUGUAGAGGUGAAAUUCGUAGAUAUUGGGAAGAACACCGGUGGCGAAGGCGGCUCACUGGCUCAUUACUGACGCUCGAGGCGCG